AGGGUUCGAUCAUGGCUCAGGAUGAACGCUAGCGGCAGGCCUAAUACAUGCAAGUCGAGGGGUAAGAGUCAGCUUGCUGACUACACGACCGGCGCACGGGUGAGUAACGCGUAUGCAACCUACCUUUAACAGAGGAAUAGCCCCGAGAAAUCGGGAUUAAUACCACAUAACAUUAUGAUAUGGCAUCAUAUUAUAAUUAAAACUCUGGUGGUUAAAGAUGGGCAUGCGUGACAUUAGCUUGUUGGUGAGGUAACUGCUCACCAAGGCAACGAUGUCUAGGGGUUCUGAGAGGAUGAUCCCCCACACUGGUACUGAGACACGGACCAGACUCCUACGGGAGGCAGCAGUAAGGAAUAUUGCGCAAUGGAGGAAACUCUGACGCAGCCAUGCCGCGUGCAGGAUUGAAGGCCUUAUGGGUCGUAAACUGCUUUUAUUUAGGAAUAAACUUUCGUACGUGUACGAAACUGAAGGUACUAAACGAAUAAGCACCGGCUAACUCCGUGCCAGCCGCCGCGGUAAUUC
rnacentral:rRNA from 1 species